rnacentral:rRNA from 1 species
GAUGAACGCUAGCGGGAGGCUUAACACAUGCAAGUCGAGGGGCAUCACGAGGUAGCAAUACUUUGGUGGCGACCGGCGCACGGGUGAGUAACACGUAUGCAACCUUCCCUGUACAGGGGGAUAACCCGGAGAAAUUCGGACUAAUACCCCAUGAUGAUAUUAUGGGGCAUCCUUUAAUAUUUAAAGCUCUGGCGGUACAGGAUGGGCAUGCGCGACAUUAGUUAGUUGGUGAGGUAACGGCUCACCUAGGCAAUGAUAGGUAGGCGGCCUUAACGGGUGGUCGCCCACACUGGGAUUGAGAUACGGCCCAGACUCCUACGGGAGGCAGCAGUCGAGAAUAGUCUACAAUGGUCGGAAGACUGAUAGUGCGACGCCGCGUGAACGAUGAAUCCCUUCGGGGUGUAAAGUUCUUUUAUAUGUGAGCAGUGCUUCUUAUAUUAACAGUAUGGGGAGAGAGAUAUUAGCAUAUGAAUAAGCAACGGCUAACUCCGUG